UACGAAGGGUGCAAGCGUUACUCGGAAUUACUGGGCGUAAAGCGUGCGUAGGUGGUUUGUUAAGUCUGAUGUGAAAGCCCUGGGCUCAACCUGGGAAUUGCAUUGGAUACUGGCAGGCUAGAGUGCGGUAGAGGAUGGCGGAAUUCCCGGUGUAGCAGUGAAAUGCGUAGAGAUCGGGAGGAACAUCUGUGGCGAAGGCGGCAUCCUGGACCGAUACUGACGCUGAGGAGCGAAAGCCAGGGGAGCAAACGGG
rnacentral:rRNA from 1 species